rnacentral:rRNA from 1 species
GACGAACGCUGGCGGCGUGCCUAAUACAUGCAAGUUGAGCGAUGAAGCUUGGUGCUUGCACCUAUUUGAAGAGCAGCGAACGGGUGAGUAACGCGUGGGGAAUCUGCCUUUGAGCGGGGGACAACAUUUGGAAACGAAUGCUAAUACCGCAUAACAACUUUAAACAUAAGUUUUAAGUUUGAAAGAUGCAAUUGCAUCACUCAAAGAUGAUCCCGCGUUGUAUUAGCUAGUUGGUGAGGUAAAGGCUCACCAAGGCGAUGAUACAUAGCCGACCUGAGAGGGUUGUCGGCCACAUCGGGAAUGGGAACACGCCCAAGCUCCCACCGGGAGGAGCAGUAGGGAAUCUUCGGCAAUGGGCGAAAGGCUGACCGGGCAACGCCGCGGGAGGGAAGAAGGUUCUCGGAUCGGAAAAAUCUGUUGGUAGGGAAGAACGUAGGGGGGAGUGAAAAGCUCAUCAAGUGACGGUAACUACCCAGAAAGGGACGGCUAACUACGUG